AACGAACGCUGGCGGCGUGGAUUAGGCAUGCAAGUCGAACGAGAAAGCACCCUUCGGGGUGCAAGUACAGUGGCGGACUGGUGAGUAACGCGUGGGAAACCUGCCUUCGAGUGGGGAGUAACAGUUCUAACGGACUGCUAAUACCGCAUAACGCUGUUGUUCGCGAUGUUCAACAGUUAAAGAUGGCCUCUACAUGUAAGCUGUCGCUUGAUGAUGGUCCCGCGUCC
rnacentral:rRNA from 1 species